rnacentral:tRNA from 1 species
GGCCCCGUAGCUCAACUGAAAUAGAGUACCUGACUACGGAUCAGGAGGUUACAGGUUUGAAUCCUGUCGGGGUCA